rnacentral:ncRNA from 1 species
UUCUUCGGGGCAGGGCGAAAUUCCCUACCGGCGGUAUAGUCCGCGACCCGCCAAGCGGCGGCUGAUUUGGUGAAAUUCCAAAACCGACAGUUACAGUCUGGAUGAGAGAAGAA